GAGAGGGAGAGUGCGGCUGACGGCGGCGGAAACGCUGCUGAGGAAAGUCCCCCCACCUGCUGAGCACGCAGCCAUAUGCAAGUAUGGGUGGCGAGAGUCACGGCAAUGGCACAGAAACGACACGGCCUGCUCAUUCGCGAUGAUACGACCGAGCCCGGAUCCCGGGCGAGAAGUGCGCGAGCACGAGAUAACUCGUUGAGUAUGGGGGCAGGAAGCGAUGAAACGGUGAAUCCCUGCGGGUGCAAGCCAAAACAGGGCACGAGGUCGCUCAGUCACCGCCCGGGUAUGGCGCAUAGCUGAAUGCCGCACCGAACAGAAGGGGGCUUACUCCUCCCACUC
rnacentral:RNase_P_RNA from 2 species